UUUCAAAAACUUUGAAUAAGAUGGUAUCUGCUGGAUGGCCUCAGAGAAUGGAAUGGUUAUUUCCAAUUUCUUGAAAAUUUCCAUGAAACGAUCAAAUUGUCUCUGUUUCUCUUUUCUGGAAUAUAUUUUUGGAUAAGGUAGAGGUUUUUCGUACUCCUUUUCUUUGAACUUCUCAGCUUCUUCUUUCUGUUCAUCACUCCAUAGAUUUUUUUCUUUCUCUUCUUCCUUUUGAUUUUCUUCUUCUUCUCUACUUCCCUUAUCAUCAACCUCUCUUUCUUUUCCGAUUCUCCCACUUUUAGUAACAAUUUCACAAACUUCUUCCCCCAUACCUUUUACCACGCAAUCAUUAGUAUAAGAACUUUUCUUCGUAAUUCUCUUGAAGGUUUCUUCGGCUUCUGUACUUCUCUAAAUAGGGUUGAAACGGAGCAUUUGUGGAACCUGUGAAGUUUCUAUACAAGUUUGUGAUAACUCAGCAAGUCUUCUUGUCACUUCCUUCAACUGCUGUGUAAUCACGUUAUUGUGAAUCAUUGAAAGCUCCUUAAUAGCAUCAACAUGCGUGUCAUGUGCUUCUUCGUUGUCAGCCAUAAGUUCUAUCAAAUUAUAAGCUUCUUCUUCAAUCUUCCCGUUAAUACCCCCUCCAGCAGAAGCGUUUAACACCAUCUUCGACUGAAGGCACAGGCCUCCCAGGAACACAAGCAAAUAUGAAGUAUUAUCGAGCCCAUGGACUGGAGUCAUUCUUAACAAGCCUUUAAACCUAUUCCAUGCCCUUCCAAAAGUUUCUUCUCUUCCUUGUUUGAAUGAAGAAAUCUCUAGCCUCCCUUGAUUGAUCCUCGCAGGCGGGAAGAAUUUUGAAAUAAAUUGAUUUGCCAC
rnacentral:lncRNA from 1 species